GGACAGUGACGGGGCUGUCUGAGGGUCUUACCUCAUGGUUGCCCCUGGGCCGUGGGCAGGUUCCAGCCAGGCAGAGGGUGGAAGGAGGUGUGGACAGCCACCCACAGAGGCUGCCAUUCCUUAGCCAGGGCUGAUCUCUGCAGGAGGGCGGACGCGUGAAGGAAGGAUGGGGAGGAAUGGAGGACAGAGGAGAGAAUGAGGGUGGGACCAUGCCAGGCCCUCCCUGCAGGUGCUGGGAGAAAACCUCCCCUUUUCAUUUUCGAAGGACAAUGUCAAAACAACUUAACGUCUUUCCAAACGUAGUUCCCUGAACCCCCCGCUGAAGGACGUGCCGCAGGAGAAACACAUGAAGGAAACAUGCUCCUCCCACGCCUUCCUGGCCAGCAGGCUAUAGGAGCUUGUCUGCUGUGAGACGGAGCAGGUCCUGAAGUCCUUCCUGAAGGCUGGAAUUUUCACACAAGUUUCUCACUACAUAGCACUAAAAAUCCAGCAAGGUGAAAGAUCGUGAGUUAUUACCUCAACAAUUCGCAAAGGUCAGAAUCGUGAUUUCUGUGCCAUUCCUCUGGUAACAAGUUUUCUUCCUUUUCAGUUGCAGGAUGUUUUGGCCGGGUGAUGGGCACGUAGCGUGACGCCACCUGGUGAGCUGUGUUUAAACAGAAUUUAAAGAACAAGGGACCUGGUGCGGUGGCUCACGCCUGUCGUCCCAGAACUUUGGGAGGCUGAGGCAGGUGGAUCACUUGAGGUCAGGAGUUCGAGACCAGCCUGGCCAACAUGGUGAAACCCCAGCUCUACUAAAAAUACAAAACUUGUCCCAAAUGUCGUCAGCAUAGACCAGUUCCCUUCCUGACAGAGGCUUCGACCAUCUGGAGAAUAUCCAGCCAUGCAUUUCUGUUCCCAGGAGGUGCCUGCCUUGUGUGGAGAGCUUGGCUUUUCUCCUCACGGACAUGAGCUCCAUCGAGGUGCCCACGGUGUCAAUUUCUUAAGAGCUACUGUGACAAAGGGCCACAAACCCAGCAGCUGAAAACAAUGGAGCUUUCCUGUCCCACAGCUCUGGAGGCUGGAGCCCAGUGCCAAGGUGUGGGCAGGGCUGUGCUCCCCCACGUCCCUGGGGAGGAGCCUUCCUGCCUCUUCCUGGAUCCAGGCAUUGCUGGCCAUGCUCGGUCCUCUCUGGCUUGCAGACACUCUGCCCCGAGCUCUGCCUUCCCAACAUGGGACGGUCCUCUCCGUGUGUCUGUCUUGCUUCCUCUCUAAUGGGGACACCGUCAUAUUGAAUUAAGGGCCCACUCUAUUCCAGGUGGCCUCGUCUUAACUAAUUACAUCUCUGAAACGAGCCUGUUUCCAAGCAAGGGCACGUCCUGAGGUCCUGGGGGUUAGGACAUCAGCAGCUCUUUUGGGAGCAGACACUGUUCAAUUCAUGUGAUACAUUCCUUAGGAGAUGUGAUUCUUUAUUUUGAGGUUGUGGCUGCUCUCACCAGGACUAGGGUUAAAGAGAGGCAAGGCCAUUCCCCAGGCUUCCUGUUUCUAGGCUAAAUGCAGGUGUUCGCAGCACUGCAUGGAUGGAGAGCCCUGGUUUCUCCCGGACCAGAUUGACUUUCUGGCCAUGUUUUGUAGGAACGCACCUGCCUUCUGACCCAGCUGGGCCAAGAGAUUCGCUGUAAGAAGGCUCUGCUGCCAGCCGAUGGCACUCAGGCCUAACGAGGGACACCCCACAUUACCUUUUCUAUGAGCACCCCCAGCCAUGUAGGGUGACACUUCCACAGCUAAGCAGCAAAGUGACAUUAUCAACGCCAUCAAAUACUGGCAAGUGCUCUUGUUCAGAUGGAAAGAGCUCAGAGUGAAAUUUAAGCACCGCAAUAGGGAGACAAAGCCAAGCUUUCCACAUGUCCAGGGCGGGGUGAUGGGGAAGGAUGGAAACCCCACUGAAUUGUCUUCUUAUCAAACAGAGAAUAGCAGUGAGCAGGAGCCAGUGUCUGAGGUUUCAGGGAGCUCGGAAUCAAGCCAGAUGGAACUCAUCUCUACACUGAGAUCUAGAGUUGGGAGAUUUCAGUAACAGGUAACAGAUACACAGUCACUCAACUGCAAAGCUUUAAGAAGCCUGUCUGCAACAGACGGGCGCCUCAGUAGCAUGUGCACUGUGCCUUUCCGACUGCCUCUAGUGUAACGACUGUGUUUCGGUUGCUUUUGAUUGAUGAAGCUAAGGUUGUGAGACGUGCGAUGUUGCACAGUGAUGCCUUCAGGCUGGAUAAGGUGCCUGUCACUGGAUGCACCCGCCCUGAGGCUUCCAGAUGCUGUCACAUGAACAAAAAUCCCUAUUUCUUUCCCCUUCAUUAUCAGCCCAUCAGUCAUCACUUCUUGACAUGAUCAAUAUUUCUUCUCUCGCCCCCUUAAUUUCCUUCCUCCAGUCUGCCACGGCAUGGCAAACCAGCUCAAGAAAGGCUGUAAGAAAGGAACUGCAGGUCACGGUAAAUGGGCUCUGUGUAAAUGACCAGCCAUUCCUAGCUGAGUAAAAUGAAUGACCUUUGUACCUGAACUCUGGGCCCUUUACAGACUCAUUCAGAGAGCUCUUUCCAGCCCACUUCUUAAUUCUCUUGUGUUUCGGAUGGCUGAGCAUCUCCCAGAAGGGACUUUCAGAGAGGGAACAUGCCAUCAACUCAAAUCCAACCUGCUACGAGAUGCAGGAUUGAAGCACGUGAGCAAUAACAUGAAUUUGAAGAACGUUGUCAGUGAAAGCCAGACAAUUUUAUAACACGUUAUUAUAUCCCGGUGACUAAGAGCUUCUAAUUACUGUGGUUAAAAAUUACAAUGUUGUGUUGUUUUCUAUCUGAUAACUUUGUAAACUGUAUACAGCAAGACUAAGUGUCAUACUUAGAUGUCCCCACACUUGGGAAGGCGUGGUUAGUACCAGCAGAAGGGAAGAGAGAAUGCGAUCGUGGAGGCGGUGAAGCAUUUUCCCUGUCAAAUCCUAUGUCAAAUUGAAGAUUCAUUCAAUUCAAUCAACAGCGAGUGCUCAGUUUCCCUCCGUGUCCCCACAAAGGGGGCAAUGUCUCAACUGCAGACCACAUACAUUUGAAUGAGACAAGGUUGGCAUGAGAUGGAAUAUUGAAUGUGUGAUUGACAAGUUGUGGUGUUGGGAGGAUAAGUGGCAGGAUGUUGGAUGGAAAGUUACUGGUGGAAGCUACUUAGGUUUGUUGUAGGAAAUGAGUAUCUGACUCUGGCUGUGAACGGGUUCACCAGUCUAAUCAAUACGAAACCGUGUAGACGCUCUCGAAGAUGGCCACAGACCCCGGAGUCCAGUCGCCUUCCUGUGGGCCCCCAGCAGGCAUCAGUCCAGCCCCAGGAAAGGCUGGACCCGCUGAGGGGCUCAAUCCAGGGGGAGCAGCAGAGAGACACCAGGAUGAGUCCAUUUUCUAAAUUCAGUACCGGGGCGAGCAGUAGGCUGCCGUUUGCUGGUGUGAGGGACAUGAGGAGGGCCAGGUGGAUGAGGAGUUCACCUUUGUUUAUGUUACUUUUAAGAGAUAUCCAAUUUGUGAGAUUACAAUUUGCUACAUUUGUGAGACAUCCAAUAACUCAGUUAGAGCAGGGCACAGUAUUCUGGGUGGACCCCAGACCACAUACAUUUUAACAGAGAAGGUUGGUAUUAGGGCCUGGUUGGGGCCUCCUCACCCCAUGACUGUCCCCUCCAUGUGGCUGACGUGGCAGUGGAGGCGGCUGCUCCCCCUCAGAUGUUCCCCAAGGAACCAUCAAAACAGGCAGAAGGGAGCAGGGAAGCUUCCGGAAGGAGAGGAUGUGGGCUCUCAGGGUGAGUGGGAAUGGCCGGGCCUUGGGGGAGGGAGGAGGAAGGCGGUUCACAGACACGGGAGUCCCGUGGAGCUGCAUGAAGACACAAAAGUGUAACUGAUUGCAGGUGAUAUGAUCAUUUAUGUCAAUAAAAACCUAAAUAUGGUAA